rnacentral:rRNA from 1 species
UCCAGACUCCUACGGGAGGCAGCAGUGGGGAAUAUUGGGCAAUGGGCGCAAGCCUGACCCAGCAAUGCCGCGUGAAGGAAGAAGGCUUUCGGGUUGUAAACUUCUUUGACAGGGGAAGAGCAGAAGACGGUACCCUGAAAACAAGCCACGGCUAACUACGUGCCAGCAGCCGCGGUAAUACGUAGGUGGCAAGCGUUGUCCGGAAUUACUGGGUGUAAAGGGAGCGUAGACGGUGAUGCAAGUCUGGAGUGAAAGGCGGGGGCCCAACCCCCGGACUGCUCUGGAAACUGUAUGACUUGAGUGCAGGAGAGGUAAGCGGAAUUCCUAGUGUAGCGGUGAAAUGCGUAGAUAUUAGGAGGAACACCAGUGGCGAAGGCGGCUUACUGGACUGUAACUGACGUUGAGGCUCGAAAGCGUGGGGAGCAAACAGGAUUAGAUACCCCAGUA